rnacentral:lncRNA from 1 species
UGUUAUUUGAGUAAAGUUGUGGCUUACAUAAUGCUUCCACAUGCACCAUUCUACUUAUUAGACAACCCUGUGAAGUGGAUUCAAAUACUCUCAUUUUAUAGAUAAGAACAAUUUAGAUCUAGAAAUAGUAAGGAACUUAAAUCCAAUUUACACAACAAUGUUUUCUUGUUUCCCUGUUCUUGUUACUACCCUUCUGUACUUCAUCUUAAUAUAGAAUGGCCAGGAGAUAAGUGAAGCUAUAGAACUGACUGGGUGAUUCCAGAAAUUGGAGCUAUAGAGUCCCAUAGUAACUUAUGAAUUGUCCUACAGUGCAGUCCUACAGCUCCGUUAUGAUAAUCCUCCAGAUGAAGCUAUGUUCAAGACUGGACUAGAUCUUGUGCUAUAAAGCCACACUGGAACCAUCUCCAAUUCCCCACCUUGCUUCAGUUUUAUAUUCUUGCAGAUAGCCUCUUUGAAUCCAUCAGACAUGAUCUCACUUUGUUGCCCCAAGCUGGAGUGCAGUGGCACAAUCUCAGCUCACUGCAGCCUCAACCUCCCAGACGCAAGUGCACCUCCAGCCGCAGCCUCCCAGAGAGAAUACGAUCGACUAUGCAUGACAGAUGAAGAGAGAGGCAGAGGAAGAACACCUAAUCAGUCUACAUUCUUCUAACUAAUAACCUAAGUGAAUGCUAAAUUGAAUAAUGUCAUUUGAAAUAAAAAGUUUGUGAAUUAGCCUGAUUUAAUUAUUCACAUUGUAAAUAUAUACCAAAAUAUCACGUUGUACCCCACAAGUAUAUGGAAUUAUUAUUUGUCAAUUAAAAUUAAAAUUUCAAAAGAAGAACAUGAGAAAAAAAAAUUCAGGUAGGUUUCCACAGAACAGAGUGACAAAAUAAUGAGUCAAUAUAGUGUAAACAAAAAGGUACCAGUAUAUAAAGCUGGUCCAGAAGUCAUUUAUUGAAGCACAACAG